GACGAACGCUGGCGGCGUGCUUAACACAUGCAAGUCGAACGGAAAGGCCCUGCUUUUGUGGGGUGCUCGAGUGGCGAACGGGUGAGUAACACGUGAGUAACCUGCCCUUGACUUUGGGAUAACUUCAGGAAACUGGGGCUAAUACCGGAUAGGAGCUCCUGCUGCAUGGUGGGGGUUGGAAAGUUUCGGCGGUUGGGGAUGGACUCGCGGCUUAUCAGCUUGGUGGUGGGGUAGUGGCUUACCAAGGCUUUGACGGGUAGCCGGCCUGAGAGGGGGACCGGCCACAUUGGGACUGAGAUACGGCCCAGACUCCUACGGGAGGCAGCAGUGGGGAAUAUUGCACAAUGGGCGGAAGCCUGAUGCAGCAACGCCGCGUGCGGGAUGACGGCCUUCGGGUUGUAAACCGCUUUCGCCUGUGACGAAGCGUGAGUGACGGUAAUGGGUAAAGAAGCACCGGCUAACUACGUG
rnacentral:rRNA from 1 species